GCUACAAAGCUAGCCAAAUACCCCCCUUAAAUAUACAACAAUAUAUAUCCGCCCACAACCUAAAAAAUUCCAAACCAAACCAUUCUUCCGCCCAAGUAUUGGAGAAAGAAAAGGACCAAAAGAGCCAUAGAAAAAGUACCGCAAGGGAACGCUGAAAGAGAAAUGAAACAACCCAUUAAAGCAUAAAAAAGCAGAGACUAACCCUCGUACCUUUCGCAUCAUGAUCUAGCCAGCAUAAAUCAGGCAAAGAGAACUUUAGUCUGAAACCCCGAAACUAGACGAGCUACUCCAAGACAGCCUAUUUAGGGCAAACCCGUCUCUGUGGCAAAAGAGUGGGAAGAGCUUCGAGUAGAGGUGACAAACCUAACGAGCCUAGUGAUAGCUGGUUGCUUAGGAAAUGAAUUUUAGUUCAGCCAUAUGACUUACUCUAACCAGACUUAUAAGAACCCCAAAAGAACCCGAGUAGUCAUAAGAGCUAGUCAAAGGAGGUACAGCUCCUUUGAAAAAGGAUACAACCUUAAUAGAAGGGUAAGGAUCACAUUCGCCAAGGUAUCUCGCCACAGUGGGCCUAAAAGCAGCCACCUGAAUAAAAAGCGUUAAAGCUUAAGCAAAACAUUAAGCCUAUUAUCCCGAUAACAAAUCCCACCCCCCUUACAGUACUAAGCCGCUCUAUUACUAUAGAAGCGAUAAUGCUAGAAUAAGUAACAAGAAGGUGCAACCUUCUCCAGGCACAUGUGUAAGUCAGAUCGGACACUCCACUGACAUUUAAAGAACCCAACUAAAGAGGGUACCACAGACUAAAAACUACCCAAGAAAACCCUGUGCAGCAAAUCAUUAACCCCACACAGGAGUGCCACCCAAGGAAAGACUAAAAGAAGAAAGAAGGAACUCGGCAACCAGGGUCCCGCCUGUUUACCAAAAACAUGGCCUCUUGCAAAUACUCCUAGAAUAAGAGGUCCAACCUGCCCAGUGACUAAAAGUUAAACGGCCGCGGUAUUCUAACCGUGCUAAGGUAGCGUAAUCACUUGUCUUUUAAAUGAAGACCUGUAUGAAAGGUGUCACGAGGACCCCACUGUCUCCUACUUCAAGUCAGUGAAAUUGAUCUGCCCGUGCAGAAGCGGGCCUUAACCCAUAAGACGAGAAGACCCUGUGGAGCUUAAGACAUAAAACCACCUGCGCCUAAAACCCCGCACACCGCCAAAAGCCACAAAGCACAGCAGCCAUGGUUCAAUUGUCUUAGGUUGGGGCGACCACGGAGGACAAAAAAGCCUCCAAGAAGAAACAGGGGGACAGCAAAACCAACCCCUAAGAGCCAAGAGCCACAGCUCUAAGCAACAGAAAACUCUGACUAAUAAUGAUCCGGGCCAAUCCCGAUCAACGAACCAAGUUACCCCAGGGAUAACAGCGCAAUCCUUUCCAAGAGCCCAUAUCGCCGAAAGGGUUUACGACCUCGAUGUUGGAUCAGGACAUCCUAAUGGCGAAAAUUCUAUUAAGGGUUCGUUUGUUCAACGAUUAAAGUCCUACGUGAUCUGAGUUCAGACCGGAGCAAUCCAGGUCGGUUUCUAUCUAUGCUAUUACCCUUCCUAGUACGAAAGGACCGGAAGGAGUGGGGCCCCUAUUCAAAAUAUGCCCUACCCCCACCUGAUGAACACAACUAAAACAGCAAGCGGGGAUAAAACUCAACCACAGAUAAUGGUA
rnacentral:rRNA from 1 species